UAGAAUUCUCGAUAUCACACAUUUGCCUACUUAAAUUGUCCCCUUGGGAGACGUUAUUCAUGUUUUAGCUAAUCACAACCGGAAGUGGUCACAACAGCGCAAUGUCGACAUCGCCACGGACCCUACUUCUUGUUGUCUGAGCCCUAUUCCUGACCUCAAGGACGUGCAUUUGACUGCAACUGUAGUCUGUAUUGAAUUUGCUCAGUUUCAUUAAAACGAUAAAUUUAAAACAAAUUCGAAAAGUUAUCAUCCGUAGCGCACGCGGUUAGCAAACACAAUAAACAAUGAAAUUGACAUCACAAAGGCGACACUGAAGAUUUCAAGUUUGUAUUGCACCUAUGGCUCAAAGCUGGGGAAAUACUUCACUGUGCCAAAGAAAAAAAUUCCGCGUUUCAUUUACGGCCAAUAUUCCUGUAUAAACACACAGUUAACACGCAUCUAAUGUAUGUCGGAUCACAUGGCCGUGAGCGGUAUUAUUGGCUUAGUAUCACAGAUGACAUCCAGCAACAAGAAACCACAGAUAAACCAAAGUCACGAAGAGAACAUAAAACAAUUUCCUGAAUUUCAGCACAAGUGCAGUUGUGCGUGCUGAGAGGACGACAUGGAAGGACCUAUGAAUCUCUUUGGGGGAUCUGCAAAUACAGUGUUAUGGUACCUUAUUUUUAGCAUAGAUCCAGGACUCGGUUUCAUGGUUACGGGCUCUUUUAGUGGAAUAAAUAUUUUUGUCUUAAAGUAAUAUAUUGUCAAGAGAUCCGGAAAUCCGCUUAGGAUUUAAACCCAAGGGUUCUCUUUUCCGAAAUACCGACCAUAUCCUUGGACAAAACAGGCGACGAAACAUAACAUACCUCUGUUUCAUCAGUUUUUGCUUAUCACAGGCCAGAUCGUGUAUUUGAAACACACCGCAGCUACGACAAAACCCACCCAAGAAAUUGUUACAAACAUCUGAAAACGAUGAAAUCUAACAACAGAGCGGCAAUUUCUGCAAUAAGCAGAUCCAAAGGUCGUCUCUGAAUUCGCAGUGACAUCAGGUAGUUCCAAGUAUUGUUACAAGAACCCUAUGAAUUAUGUACAAUAUAUCUGACCACAGGCAUGUUUCACGGGAACAAUUAUCUUUCGUCGCAGCUGUCAGAAAAUUAUACAACACGAUUUGAUAUCUGUCAUCGAUUGAUAACAUGAUGGGUCUUGUCUAAUGCGGAGUGUAGCACGCGACCUCUGUCAUGCAAUUAUAACGAGCGUUACAUGGCAAAUACCAUUUAACCAACCAACGCCUGUAAGUCUAAUUGAAUUAAAUAAAGCCGUGAAGAUACAGUAAAUUAGAGUUUAAGGCUCGUUAUCAUCUUCUCGACCUGGACGUUCGUGUCAUAUUUUAAUUUUCGCUCGGUGAAUGUUAGCAUAAGGGUGGCCAAGAGGCCAUCUUUACAAGACGCAAAGUCAUCCGUGUUUCCGCCACCCCCCGUUAAGAAAGAGGGAAAAAAAGUCGGAGUCCAAAUUCCGCUGAAAUGGAACGGAAUAAAAUUGAAGCCUUAAACGCCGAAGAUUUUGCAAAUGCAAUUUCUUUCUUUUGUCAAACGAAUACAGUUUAACAACAAAGGUAAACACAGAA